rnacentral:lncRNA from 1 species
AAGCACAGGACUGCGUCUCUCACCACCACAGCCAGGCAGCUGCUCUUCUAGCUUCUGAUUAUCAUCCCCAAGCCAUGCCUUGGUCAUUUCUGAGUUGAACAAAAUCAUGGAAGAUGUGACUGUCAAGUGGAGACAUCGAGCCUUUCUGCUGCCCUCAGCAUCUCCCAGCAGCCUCUCUGGUUCAAGACUUUCUUUGUCUCUAGAAGUUGCUCCAGGAUCCCAGACUGUAUUGCUAAGCCAUAGGAAGAGAGAGGAGAAAUGUUAGGAUGGGAGAGUCGCAUCAACAUUCUCAAAAGAAUUCCAUGAUGACAUCAGUACCCAUCCUCAACUGCAAUGAAACUGUGUGUCUCUCCCAAGGAGAUAAACAGGAGGGGAACAUUAGAAACAGAUGCUGCCUGUGGCUGCCUUUUCAUAAUACUCCAUGCCAACGAUUUGCACUUCUGUCGUCCCUUUCAUCUGGGAACCACAAGGCCAUCUGAAACUUCUCUGAUCAGCUUCAGAGGAGUCCCCUCUAUCAGUUAAGAAUUGUACUCUACACUGAGAAGCAGGUAUUGCAUUUGUUGGUCGCAAGGAUAAUCCCCCAAAUUCCCACAGCAUCCAGAUGAAGUUGUCUACUGUCCACAGGAUGUUCAGCAAAGACACCGGGAUGUAUUUGCCUGAAGAAGAACGGAAGAGAACUGAAAAGAGACAUCUAAGGGGAUGACGUUGUCAUCGGGCCAUUAAUACCUGAACUGCAUUUUAUUUCACAGAGGGCCUCAGGUACUCACAUAGCCCUACAGUGUGGAAUCAAUGUCUGAGAAACCAGGAAGAAAAUCUGACCCAAAGCUAGUGGAAAGGCAGAGAGAGAAGCUGAUACCUUCAGGAACAGCGAAUGCCACACUUGUUUCUGCUCCCCCUGGAUUUAUCAUGGAAGGUGAUCUAAUCCAUCCAUUCCCAGAAGAGAGUGUGUUGUAGCACUGGGUAUUUAUUCUCAGCAUGCCAAAGUUCUGUGCCCACAGAAAAGGUCCACCUCGCCUACUGUCAAGACUUUGGGUAGAUGUGUGGAUGCUCAGAUGCCUUGCUCCUUUCUCCUUUCUCAUGCAUGUUUCUGGCUUUGUGUAUUCCCUGGAUUUUGCCCAUGUCCUUCAUCACUGUGGGCUCCAAGAUACACUUUACUUGGUCUGUGAAAAACAGCUGACUCAACUGAAAACCUCCAUGGACUUCUUCACUAUUGAUUCAGGGUGGACUCUACUUGCAUUGGUGAAAUUCCAGCCUGGGUUACUUCUGUCCAGUCUUAAUACUGAAAUUCUAGAGAGUAGCCACCCAAUCUGGAAGCCACGACAAAACUCUUGAUGGACGUGGGGAACUAGGUCAAUAUGUCACAUCCACAUCAUCCUAGAUCAGAUUGCCUGGGGACACAAUGACCAAGCUUUCCCAUCCAUAGAAGACAUGCUUCAGGCUGUCCCUACAGGCCCCCUCCAGCUCUUUAAGAGAGAUCCUUAGGGAGGCCCUGGUCUUUGUCAGAGACUGGGGUUGGUGGAGGGUGGCUAAUCUGUAAGUCUCCAGAAAACUAUGUGUCUGUCCUAUACAAUCUCAGCAAGCUGUUGGCCCAAAGUCUUGUGUUUUGCACUAACCAUGUAUCUCUCACUUCAUAUUAAACAAUACCCUCAACUUUUCAUCCUGAAAUCUCUUCUUGGUACAUUUGUUCAUUUUUCAUUCAUCUUUUCCUUUCUAAAUUUUCAAUGAUGUCCCUGAAUCAGGUGCAGAGAGAUGGCUCAAUUAAAAUAGUAGGGAGUGAACAUUACACUGGAAAUAAAUGUGGUAUAUUUAAGAAUUUAUGACAGGUUUUGAGACAGAUGUUGAUUUUACUUCAAAAUAAAGUACAGUUAUUUUAUGCAA